rnacentral:snoRNA from 1 species
CGAGCCAAUGUUGACAGCUGGUGGUAUAUGAGUCAUGAAUGAUGAAUACUAAUUAUCUGGAACUCUGAGACCUCAU